AACGAACGCUGGCGGCAGGCCUAACACAUGCAAGUCGAACGCCGUAGCAAUACGGAGUGGCAGACGGGUGAGUAACGCGUGGGAACCUACCUUACGGUCGGGAAUAGCUCAGGGAAACUUGGGGUAAUACCGGAUACGCCCUUACGGGGAAAGAUUUAUCGCCGUUAGAUGGGCCCGCGUAGGAUUAGCUAGUUGGUGAGGUAAUGGCUCACCAAGGCGACGAUCCUUAGCUGGUCUGAGAGGAUGAUCAGCCACACUGGGACUGAGACACGGCCCAGACUCCUACGGGAGGCAGCAGUGGGGAAUAUUGGACAAUGGGCGCAAGCCUGAUCCAGCCAUGCCGCGUGAGUGACAAAGGCCUUAGGGUUGUAAAGCUCUUUUGGCGGGGAAGAUAAUGACGGUACCCGCAGAAUAAGCUCCGGCUAACUUCGUGCCAGCAGCCGCGGUAA
rnacentral:rRNA from 1 species